GCCGUGAUAAUUCUUCUUACAUGUGUUAGAACUUCUGAUGCAGAUGAAGUGAAGUCGAGCCUGAGC
rfam:Pelodiscus sinensis unplaced genomic scaffold scaffold1047, whole genome shotgun sequence.